rnacentral:rRNA from 1 species
AGAUUUUAACACGAAGUGAGUGGCGAACGGGUGAGUAACACGUGGGUAACCUGCCCAGAAGUAGGGGAUAACACCUGGAAACAGAUGCUAAUACCGUAUAACAGAGAAAACCGCAUGGUUUUCUUUUAAAAGAUGGCUCUGCUAUCACUUCUGGAUGGACCCGCGGCGUAUUAGCUAGUUGGUGAGGUAAAGGCUCACCAAGGCAGUGAUACGUAGCCGACCUGAGAGGGUAAUCGGCCACAUUGGGACUGAGACACGGCCCAGACUCCUACGGGAGGCAGCAGUAGGGAAUCUUCCACAAUGGACGCAAGUCUGAUGGAGCAACGCCGCGUGAGUGAAGAAGGGUUUCGGCUCGUAAAGCUCUGUUGUUAAAGAAGAACGUGGGUAAGAGUAACUGUUUACCCAGUGACGGUAUUUAACCAGAAAGCCACGGCUAACUACGUGCCAGCAGCCGCGGUAAUACGUAGGUGGCAAGCGUUAUCCGGAUUUAUUGGGCGUAAAGCGAGCGCAGGCGGUCUUUUAAGUCUAAUGUGAAAGCC